rnacentral:rRNA from 1 species
CCUACGGGUGGCAGCAGUGGGGAAUAUUGGACAAUGGGCGAAAGCCUGAUCCAGCAAUGCCGCGUGUGUGAAGAAGGCCUUCGGGUUGUAAAGCACUUUCAGUGGGGAAGAAAGCCUUGGGGCUAAUACCCUCGAGGAAGGACAUCACCCACAGAAGAAGCACCGGCUAACUCCGUGCCAGCAGCCGCGGUAAUACGUAGGGUGCGAGCGUUAAUCGGAAUUACUGGGCGUAAAGCGCGCGUAGGCGGUCUGAUAAGCCGGUUGUGAAAGCCCCGGGCUCAACCUGGGAACGGCAUCCGGAACUGUCAGGCUAGAGUACAGGAGAGGAAGGUAGAAUUCCCGGUGUAGCGGUGAAAUGCGUAGAGAUCGGGAGGAAUACCAGUGGCGAAGGCGGCCUUCUGGACUGACACUGACGCUGAGGUGCGAAAGCGUGGGUAGCAAACAGGAUUAGAUACCCCAGUAGUC